rnacentral:rRNA from 1 species
GAUGAACGCUGGCGGCGUGCCUAAUACAUGCAAGUCGGGCGAACGGACGAGAAGCUUGCUUCUCUGAUGUUAGCGGCGGACGGGUGAGUAACACGUGGAUAACCUACCUAUAAGACUGGGAUAACUUCGGGAAACCGGAGCUAAUACCGGAUAAUAUUUUGAACCGCAUGGUUCAAAAGUGAAAGACGGUCUUGCUGUCACUUAUAGAUGGAUCCGCGCUGCAUUAGCUAGUUGUUAAGGUAACGGCUUACCAAGGCAACGAUGCGUAGCCGACCUGAGAGAGGGGUAGCCCACACGGGAGCGGGGACGGGGACCUGACGCCUGCGGGAGGCAGCAGAAGGGAAUCUGACGCAGUGGGCGAAAGCCUGACGGAGCAACGCCGCGUGAGAGAUGAAGGUCUUCGGAGCGUAAAACUCUGUUAUGGGGGAAGAACAGAUGUGUAAGGAGCUGUGCACAGCUUGACGGUACCUAAUAAGAAAGCCACGGCUAACUACGUG